rnacentral:rRNA from 1 species
GACGAACCGUGCGAACGUUGUUCGGAAUCACUGGGCUUAAAGGGCGCGUAGGCGGCGGGUCAAGUCCGGGGUGAAAGCCCCCAGCUUAACUGGGGAAGGGCCUCGGAGACUGAUUCGCUCGAGGGAGGUAGGGGUCGCGGGAACUUCCGGUGGAGCGGUGAAAUGCGUAGAUAUCGGAAGGAACAUCAGUGGCGAAGGCGACUUCCUGGACCAAUACUGACGCUCAGGUGCGAAAGCGUGGGGAGCAAACAGG